rnacentral:lncRNA from 1 species
UAAUAGAGAAAACAUAUAAAAAUGAAAAUUAAUAGAGUCUAGGAACUAUACUAUGGGUGCUUGAAUUGGGAGGCUGAUAUCAAAAUGCUUAAGAGUUUAGUUCGCACUUGAACUAUCUCUUGAAAUUUGGAGCACAAUUUAAUGUCCGCUUACUCCCUCCAUCCUGAAAUAUAAGACGAGGAUAUAUUAGCAAGAGUAGC